UGGGCAGUUAGCCCACAAAAGUGGAUUGUUUUUGAAAAGGACAAAAGUCAGAUUUGCAAGGUUUAUCAAUAUACAGACCGUGCUGGUUUCAUAUGUGACAAGGAGGCAAGCAAACAGUGGAGAACGGCAGUAGAUACGAUAUAGAUAAGCAAGAAAGAAAAAUUAAGGACAAAAAGACAGACCAGUUUCUAAAAAUUCAGACUGUGCACUUCAAAAUAAUACCAUAAAGGCUCAUCAUUUCAAUCCAUUAUUGAUUACACCUUGGGGACUUUCCACCGAUUCCACUUGAUGCUACUUUUAAAAUGAAUAUUCUGGAGUCUACUCGGGCACUGAUCUUUCCAUGGGUAAGACAGCAUACGUAUCUCUCCCUCCUGUACCUUUCUGUCUGAUUUCCACCAAAGAAUGCUCUUGUUAGAGAGACAGACAUUAACAACGUUUAGACCA
rnacentral:lncRNA from 1 species